rnacentral:rRNA from 1 species
CAUGUCCCGACGCAAGUCGGGAUGAUGGCGACCGGCAAACGGGUGCGGAACACGUACACAACCUUCCUUUAAGUGGGGAAUAGCCUAAGGAAACUUGGAUUAAUACCCCGUAACAUUAUGAAGUGGCAUCACUUUAUAAUUAUAGCUCCGGCGCUUAAUGAUGGGUGUGCGGCUGAUUAGAUAGUUGGCGGGGUAACGGCCCACCAAGUCUGCGAUCAGUAACUGGUGUGAGAGCACGACCAGUCACACGGGCACUGAGACACGGGCCCGACUCCUACGGGAGGCAGCAGUAAGGAAUAUUGGUCAAUGGACGCAAGUCUGAACCAGCCAUGCCGCGUGGAGGAUGAAGGUCCUCUGGAUUGUAAACUUCUUUUAUCUGGGACGAAAAAGGGCCUUUCCAGGCCAACUGACGGUACCAGAUGAAUAAGCACCGGCUAACUCCGUGCCAGCAGCCGCGGUAAUACGGAGGGUGCAAGCGUAAUCCGGAUUCACUGGGUUUAAAGGGUGCGUAGGUGGGCAGGUAAGUCAGUGGUGAAAUCUUUGGGCUUAACCCGAAAACUGCCAUUGAUACUAUUUGUCUUGAAUAUUGUGGAGGUCAGCGGAAUAUGUCAUGUAGCGGUGAAAUGCUUAGAUAUGACAUAGAACACCAAUUGCGAAGGCAGCUGGCUACACAUAUAUUGACACUGAUGCACGAAAGCGUGGGGAUCAAACAGGAUUAGAUACCCUGGUAGUCCACGCCCUAAACGAUGGAUACUCGACAUACGCGAUAUACUGUGUGUGUCUGAGCGAAAGCAUUAAGUAUCCCACCUGGGAAGUACGAUCGCAAGAUUGAAACUC